GGUUUUAAACUAGUGCACUUUCAUGUUUGGGUUGAUGAUGGGUUUGACUAGUUAGAAGUGAACAAGGGGAUUCCUAAUUUGUUUAUCAUUGGCAGCCAAAAUAGAGGUUACGAGCCGUUCAAGAGUUAAUAAAUCUGCAGGUUGGAACAUUUAGUGUUGAACGUAUUGAGAUGGAGGUUACGAGCCAUGACACCGUGCUCUUACGUGAGAUACUUCCUGUGUAAGAUCAAUGGUUAUGAUCAAGAACCACACAGCAGAUUGAUAUCCAGAUCACUACAAGUGAUAGCCAGCACAACCUCAGUUUUCUAAACCUCAGUUUUGCUUUUGGGUUAUGGACUUUUGGGUUAGAAAUGAUUGAUGGUGGUUGUGAAAAAGAUAGUUGAUGUAUAGACAAUACACUAAUGCACACAUUGUCUAUUUAUAUCC